AAAGAACUAGGAUAAAAAAAAAAAACUAUGAAUUCAGGUAUAGACUGUUGUUUUAGCAACAUUGUGCUUCAAUCUAAACCGUCAUAUUUUUCUUGAAUCAACAGCAUAUAAGCUACAAUUCCAGUUUGUAAGCGAAUUUACCUGUUUGUUUAAAGCAUCUAUUGUUUCCUCAUUAAGGUCAUUGCUAGCUGUGAUACUCAUCUUUCCGAAACCGGGCAAUCCAAAUUCCUUCUCAAUGGAGCAAAACAACUUCCUGAUCUCACAAGACAGAUAUGCAAGGGAAAACUUCUUGACGUACCCU
rnacentral:sRNA from 1 species